GAUGCUGGUGACGUUGCAACGGAGGCUGGGAGCGUUGCAACGGAGGCAGGGCGCGUUGCAACGGAUGCUGGGCGCGUUGCAACGUUGGCUGGGGGCGUUGCAACGGAGGCAGGUCGCGUUGCCACGUUGGCUGGGGGCG